rnacentral:pre_miRNA from 1 species
AAUAUACUCCCUCCGUCCCAAAAUUCUUGUCUUAGAUUUGUAUAGAUAUGAAUGUAUCUAGUCAUAUUUUAGUAUUUUGAUAUAUUCAUUUUUAAAAAAAUCUAAGACAAGAAUUUUGGGAUGGAGGGAUUACCAU